UACAGAGGUCUCAAGCGUUGUUCGGAUUCAUUGGGCGUAAAGAGCGUGUAGGCGGCUCGGUAAGUCCGCUGUGAAAGUCCAGGGCUCAACCCUGGAAUGCCGGUGGAAACUGUCGAGCUAGAGUCCGGAAGAGGCGAGUGGAAUUCCUGGUGUAGCGGUGAAAUGCGCAGAUAUCAGGAGGAACACUAAUGGCGAAGGCAGCUCGCUGGGACGGUACUGACGCUGAGACGCGAAAGCGUGGGGAGCAAACAGG
rnacentral:rRNA from 1 species